rnacentral:tRNA from 1 species
CUAAAGUCAUGAAAUUAGACUAUUCACUGUUAAUGAAUUCAAAAAUAAUAUUUUAGA